CCUACGGGAGUCAGCAGUAGGGAAUAUUGCUCAAUGGGGGAAACCCUGACGCAGCAACGCCGCGUGGAGGAUGAAGGUUUUCGGAUUGUAAACUCCUUUUGUUAGAGAAGAUAAUGACGGUAUCUAACGAAUAAGCACCGGCGAACUCCGUGCCAGCAGCCGCGGUAAUACGUAGGGUGCAAGCGUUACUCGGAAUCACUGGGCGUAAAGAGCGCGUAGGCGGGAGAGCAAGUCAGAUGUGAAGUCCUAUGGCUUAACCAUAGAACUGCAUUUGAAACUGUUAUUCUAGAGUAUGGGAGAGGUAGGUGGAAUUCUUGGUGUAGGGGUAACAUCCGUAGAGAUCAAGAGGAAUACUCAUUGCGAAGGCGACUUGCUAGAACAUAACUGACGCUGAUGCGCGAAAGCGUGGGGAGCAAACAGGAUUAGAUACCCCAGUAGUC
rnacentral:rRNA from 1 species